rnacentral:rRNA from 2 species
GCAAUGCGGCGGCUACAAUGCAGUCGAGCGGACAGAUGGGAGCUUGCUCCCUGAUGUUAGCGGCGGACGGGUGAGUAACACGUGGGUAACCUGGCUGUAGGACUGGGAUAACUCCGGGAAACCGGGGCUAAUACCGGAUGGUUGUUUGAACCGCAUGGUUCAAACAUGAAAUGGGGCUUCGGCUACCACUUACGGAUGGACCCGCGGCGCAUUAGCUAGUUGGUGAGGUAACGGCUCACCCAGGCAACGAUGCAUAGCCGACCUGAGAGGGUGAUCGGCCACACUGGGACUGAAACCCGGCCCAAACUCCUACGGGAGGCAACAGUACGGAAUCUUCCGCAAUGGACCAAAGUCUGACGGAGCAACGCCACGGGAGUGAUGAAGGUUUUCGGAUCGUAUAGCUCUGUUGGUAGGGAAGAACAAGUACCGUUCGAAUAGGGCGGUACCUUGACGGUACCUAACCAAAAUUCCACGGCUAACUACGUGCCAUCAGCCGCGGUAAUACGUAGGUGGCAAGCGUUGUCCGGAAUUAUUGGGCGUAAAGGGCUCGCAGGCGGUUUCUUAAGUCUGAUGUGAAAGCCCCCGGCUCAACCGGGGAGGGUCAUUGGAAACUGGGGAACUUGAUUGCGGAAUAGGAGAGUGGAAUUCCACGUGUAGCGAUGAAAUGCGUAGAGAUGUGGAGGAACACCAGUGCCUAAGGCGACUCUCUGGUCUGUAACUGACGCUGAGGAGCGAAAGCGUGAUUAGCGACCCUGAUUAGAUACCCUGUAGUCCACGUCCGUAAACGAUGAGUGCUCAGUG